rnacentral:tRNA from 1 species
GCCUUCGUCGUACAACGGUAGCACACUCGGCGCUUAUUCGAGAGGUACAGGUUCGAAUCCCGGCGAGGGCG